AAAGUCGUAACAAGGUUUCCGUAGGUGAACCUGCGGAAGGAUCAUUAUUGAAUAAACUUAGUUAGGUUGUUGCUGGUUCUUCGGAACAUGUGCACACCUGACAAUGUUUUUAACCACCUGUGCACUUUUUGUAGAUCUGGAAUAUCUUUUGAGGAAACUCAGUUUGAGGAUUGCUGUGUGAAAGCCAGCUUUCCUUGCAUUUCAGGUCUAUGUUUUAUAUAUACCCCAAUAGAAUGUAAUUGAAUGUCAUUUAAUGGGCCUUUGAGCCUUUAAAACAAAUACAACUUUCAACAACGGAUCUCUUGGCUCUC
rnacentral:misc_RNA from 1 species